rnacentral:rRNA from 1 species
GAUGAACGCUGACAGAAUGCUUAACACAUGCAAGUCAUUGGCGAAGCUGCGCUUGCGCAGUCUAGCCAUGGCUGACGGGUGAGUAACGCGUAAGGAACUUGCCCUGCAGACAGGGAUAACAGACGGAAACGACUGAUAACACCUGGUAUUGUCAGGCUGGCGCAUGCCGGCCUGAUGAAAGGAGACGCUGCAGGAGAGCCUUGCGUCCUAUGAGCUAGUUGGUGGGGUAACGGCCCACCAAGGCGAUGAUAGGUAGCCGGCCUGAGAGGGCGAACGGCAACAAGGGGACGGAGGUGCGGCCCUUACGCCUACUGGAGGAAGCAGUGGGGAAUAUUGGACAAUAGGGGCAACACUGAUCCAGCAAUUCUGUGUGCACGAAGAAGGUUUUCGGAGUGUAAAGUGCUUUCAGCAGGUAAGAAGAAAGUGACGGUACCUGCAGAAGAAGCGACGGCUAAAUACGUG